rnacentral:lncRNA from 1 species
ACCACUCUUGUUGAAUAUAACCGUUUUCUAUCUAUUAAAACCAAAAUUGUUCUGUUCUGUGUUAAAUACAGAACCGUUCUCUGAUCAUGAUAAGCGCACAACGUCUCCUUUCAAAUUUUGUAGAAACAACUCAUCUGCCAAAACCCUCACAAAUCAAACUUAUACAAUCGAGAUUGAACACGGUGCUCGUAAAGGAACGAAUGGCGUUGUUCUGCGAGGUAUGCUUAGUUUGCAUAUUCAUCCCUUUUCCAACUAUUUUUCUUAAGGAAUGCAUACUCAUAACCGAUUCACAUGCAUUUUUGUGUAUUUUACCAUUCUAGGGAUUCGUACUAAAAUGAUUACUAUGUUUUUGCACCUAGCAGAACAUAUCAAUGGUAUAGGGAAGUUCACG